ensembl:lncRNA
UGCCGAACAGCACAGCGCAGCGUCGCGCAGCCCGCCUGGAGCCCCCUCCCUCCCUCCUCCCUCCCUCCUUCCAUCCAUCCCUCCCUCUCUCCUCCUCCUCCCUCGCUCCCGCCCGCCCGCCCGCCGCUCUGAAGGAUGCCCGGUAAGUAGCGACGAGGACCGGCACCUCUGCCGGUGCGCGAUGUGAGGGGUUAGGGACUGCUUAUACCGCUGCCGCCCGCCGGGGGGGCGCAGGGCGGGGGGGCGAGGGGAGGGGAGGUGACAGCGAUCCGAGGCAGGAGACGGCGGGGCUCGCCGGGUGCUCCUCAGAAGGACUUUUAGCUGCGUGGCCGGGGCUUGGAUGUGGGCGCCGAGGGACGGGGUCUGUGCACCGCAGCGGGCACCGGCCGGGGCGGGGGCGCUUCGCCUGCGCUGCGGGUUGCUGCCUGCAGCACCGCGGCAAUACCUGGUUCCAUAAUCUUCUGAAAAGUUCACAGAAAUUAUUCCUAGCAUUGAGAGAGGAAGGUGCAUGCUGCUUUGUGCUCUGGAAAAGAGGUAAGUCAGCAUCCCUCACAGCAGCACUUUUGCCACAUCAUUUUGAGUACAUCAGCUUUUACUAGAGUCAGAGCACAGCUGGGUUGUUGAGCGAUAUGGUCUUGUCAACUUACGGAAAGUAAACUGGUAUAAGCAAAGACAGGGUUUUAAAUGAUCUAAGUCUACAGAUCUAAAUUCAAUUUGUAAAUUAUCUCAUUUUAAUAACUUUAAAUUGGGAUGUGUCUUUUUUGUUGUUGUUGUUGAAUUUAAACAGACAACACGAAACCACAAGAAAAAAACCAGAACCAUUCUUAAUGAGAACAUUCAUAUCAGCCACUAUACCUAUAUGACUUAUAUGUUAUAAAUAAAAACAUCUGUGUCCAGACAAGCCCCUUCAGACAAGGAAUAUUUUAUAGCUUACCAAACCAUCCCUCCUCUUCUGACUGCACCAAAGCUGUGCUGCUGUGCUUGGGGGGAUCUUUAUUUAUACCCUAUGUUAGCAUAAUGCCCAUUGGAGAUGUGGUUAUACCAGUUUCCUGUGCAUGAAGUUGUCUCAAUGACUACCUUUACUCUAUCAGUCCAACAAAUAUCUCUGCCAGUAAAACAAUCUCCCUGCUUCUAACUCAUUUAUGGGCUGCCUGUGAAAAACAGAAAGCCUGCUUCCAGCUGCUUGGACACUCUCUUCCACCAGAUUACCCUGUCUACCCAAUUACUCCAGCACGACCAUUUUAUUGUUCUUUACAUCUAUAAAACUGAUCCAGGCUAAAGUGUGACAGAAACACGAUAUUGUUCCAGCUGAACUGAGAUUUCCCUAGGAUUCAGCACAGCAAACUCAGUGUGAUGAGAGUGCCGCCUAGUAAAAAACAAAGAUCUCAUUCAGUUGUGUCUAAUAGAUAUUUUUAUGAGAGGUGUGAGAAAAUCUCAUCUUCUGCCAAGCCCUUAAUGGUGUUUGCUCUUACUACUAAAUAUAUAAAAUUCCUUUGGGAGAUUUCUAAUACAUAACCAACAUAACAUCACAUAUAUUAUCCUGGAGAUUUCUCAUAACUUGCCACCCCUAUUCUUUUACCUUAUGUGAUAUCUCAGAGUUAACUCUUUCAAUAGACAGGAGGUGUGAGGAGAAACAAAUUUAUUACACUCUUAUCAUGUUAGGACAUUGAUGACUGUCAAGUGCUGUGUCAUUUAGGCCAAACAGUGUAAUCCACACUAUUAACUGUUACAAACCAUCUGAAGAGAAAAGUUCCUGCAUGUAUUGAAGGUUUCUUUAGGCAAUGAAAAUGGCAGGACCUAGAGAUAUGCUGUGCCACUUACACUGAUUCAAAUGGAAGGUUUAAUUACCUCUAAUUUUGUUAUACCAUAGUAAAGCAAUGGAAAGAAGUAUCUGCUGCUUUGCUGUUGGCUAGCAGAGCUGAGGAACCGACCAAAACAAGAUAAGUUAUUGCAAAAAAGGUUCUGUCUGGCACCUGGGGCUA